rnacentral:tRNA from 6 species
AGGAAAGGGAGGGAUUCGAA